rnacentral:rRNA from 1 species
CUUUCAACAACGGAUCUCUUGGUUCUGGCAUCGCGCCUCCCAC